AUGAUAGCAAAGUCAAAUGACACAGGAUAUAUUUUAUGUCAUCCGUUGACAUACAGUAUUUCAUACUACCAAGAUACUGUUGCAAUCGCAUACAAAGGGCAGUAUGUGACAUUUGGGAAAAUUUUGUCUGGCUUAACUGCAAUUGACCUCUCAAAUAAUGCACUUGAUGGUGACAUUCCGGAAUCAGUUGGAAGACUAGUUUCACUACACAUACUGAACAUGUCACACAAUACACUUAAUGGGCGGAUUCCAUCACAAAUUGGUGAGAUGCGUGAGUUGGAGUCAUUAGACCUAUCCUGGAAUGAGCUUUCUGGGGAGAUUCCAGAAGAGCUAACAGAUUUAUCAUUUCUUGGCACCCUGAACUUGUGUGGGAACAAGCUGGAUGGUAGGAUACCACAGUCACAUCAGUUUGCAACAUUUGAGAACACUUCAUAUGAAGGGAAUGCCGGGCUCUGUGGGCCACCUUUAUCCAAACCAUGUGGAAAUUUGAGUAAUCCAAAUGAGGCACAAGUAAACAAAUCGAAGGAUCAUGUGGACGUUAUUUUGUUUCUCUUUGUUGGAGUGGGCUUUGGAGUUGGAUUCACAGCAGGUAUUCUGCUGAAAUGGUGUAAAAUCGGCAAAUGGUUCCGGAUUGUGUGA
rnacentral:rRNA from 1 species